UGUCAUUUUCAACAGUAAUAAUAAUAAUAAUAAUAAUAAUAAUAAUAAUAAUAAUAAUAAUAAUAAUAAUAAUAAUAAUAAUAAUAAUAAUAGUAGUAGUAGUAGUAGUAGUAGUAGUAGUAGUGUAGUAGUAGUAGUAGUAGUAGUAGUAGUAGUAGUAGUAGUAGUAGUAGUAGUAGUAGUAGUAGUAGUAAUAAUAAUAAUAAUAAUAAUAAUAUAUUUUCCACAAGAAUAAUGUACGUUAAUCGUCUGUAUUUUGUGUUCUCACUUCUUGUAAAUAAAUAUAUGUUCCUCGAGAUUUAAGAGAUGCGAUAGUAUUUUAAUUAAUUGAAUUUAGCUCGCAUGCCACA
rnacentral:misc_RNA from 1 species